rnacentral:lncRNA from 1 species
CCGAACCAAGCCAACGACAGCAUCUUCCGAAUCCCCUGUUCCCAUUGAAUCAAGACUCAUCUGUUCCCAAGCCAUCUAGAAACAAGUCUAGAUUAGUAUCUAAACUUCCCCUCCAUUCCGUGUUCAUCUUCCACAUCAUCCCGUUCCUUCCGGGUCCAACAAACAGGGCUCUGUUUCGGAACAGAGCUAAGAUCCUCCACGUCUUCCGCAGUCCAAACAUCUCCUCCGGAUCAGCUUCAUCCUGAAUUCCAUGGAUUAACAGCAUCCCCUCUGUUCGUAAGAUCAGCAUCCACGGCACUAUCCUUCCAAACCAAGUCUUCAUCCCGUUAUGAUCCCCUUCUUCAUUCAAAUCCCAGCAAAUCUCAGCAUCCGUGGGUGAACUUGUGUAUCCUUAUCUCAGUUCUUCCACUCCCAGCUACCCACCUACCACCCUUAUCCCUUGCUUCAACGGAUCAGAACUGCAACAGUCCGCGGAUCAAGCUUCCUAACCAUCUGCCUCUUCCCAAC